rnacentral:rRNA from 1 species
UACGUAGGUGGCAAGCGUUGUCCGGAUUUAUUGGGUUUAAAGGGUGCGUAGGCGGUCUAUUAAGUCAGUGGUGAAAUACUCCAGCUUAACUGGAGGGGUGCCAUUGAUACUGAUGGACUUGAGUCAAGUCGAGGUAGGCGGAAUUGACGGUGUAGCGGUGAAAUGCUUAGAUAUCGUCAAGAACACCAAUAGCGAAGACAGCGUACUGGGCUUAAACUGACACUGAGACACGAAAGUGUGGGGAGCAAACAGG